UAUUGUCACAGCCUUUGUUGAGGAACUUGGUGAGGGUACUAAUAAUGGAGCUGAGCUAUUGGCAUUGUUAUAUGGGCUUCGACAUGCUAAAAGGAUGGGGAUUAACCGUCUUGAAGUGGAGAUAGAUUCAUUGAUUAUCGUUAAUUGGUUAAGGAGGAAGGUUUGUGGUAUUUGGUAUCUAGAAGAUUACUGGGAAGAGAUACAAUAC
rnacentral:lncRNA from 1 species